rnacentral:rRNA from 1 species
GACGAACGCUGGCGGCGUGCUUAACACAUGCAAGUCGAGCGGUAAGGCCCUUUCGGGGGUACGACGAGCGGCGAACGGGUGAGUAACACGUGGGUGACCUGCCCUCAGCUCUGGGAUAAGCCUGGGAAACCGGGUCUAAUACCGGAUAUGACUCCAUGACGCAUGUUGUGGGGUGGAAAGCCUUGUGCGGCUGAGGAUGGGCCCGCGGCCUAUCAGCUUGUUGGUGGGGUGAUGGCCUACCAAGGCGACGACGGGUAGCCGGCCUGAGAGGGCGACCGGCCACACUGGGACUGAGACACGGCCCAGACUCCUACGGGAGGCAGCAGUGGGGAAUCUUGCGCAAUGGGCGAAAGCCUGACGCAGCGACGCCGCGUGAGGGA